UGAGGAAUUUUCCACAAUGGGCGAAAGCCUGAUGGAGCAAUACCGCGUGAAGGAUGACGGUCUUCGGAUUGUAAACUUCUUUUAAAUAGGAAGAUUAUGACGGUACUAUUUGAAUAAGCAUCGGCUAACUACGUGCCAGCAGCCGCGGUAAUACGUAGGAUGCAAGCGUUAUCCGGAAUUAUUGGGCGUAAAGAGUUUGUAGGUGGCAUGUUAAGUUAAAUGUUAAAUCUCGGGGCUCAACUCAGAGGCUGCAUUUAAUACUGGCAAGCUCGAGGUUGUGAGAGGUAAGCGGAAUUAGCGGUGUAGCAGUGAAAUGCGUAGAUAUCGCUAGGAACACCAAUGGCGAAGGCAGCUUACUGGCGCAAUCCUGACACUGAGAAACGAAAGCGUGGGGAGCGAACG
rnacentral:rRNA from 1 species